rnacentral:lncRNA from 1 species
CUCAUUUUUCCUUGUUCGGGGUUUGAGGUGCCACCUUACAAAAGGAUGGGUGUACGCUCUCUUUUCAGAAUGUGGUUCAUCUCAAAGCCCUUUACACUUUGGAGCCAGGCCUGUUCAAUUUUACAAAUAACACGUUUUGCUUGUAGUCAGGGUGCUGUGACAACAUGAAGAGUUCGAGCUACCUCCCAGGAUGAGUGCAGGUUUUCCUGGUGACAAAUCUCAGGCAUUCAAAGGUUCUGUUAGCAGUGCCAUACUUGUGGGUUUACAGAGAUGGUGUGUCUGGCUGAGAACAAAGGAGCCGUACCAGGAAAGUUGAAGCAUAUCUUCAUUUUCAAGUCCAGGCUAAAAUAAGGUCUGAGGAAAAGAAUGAGCUGCGUGUGAAGGAUAGGUAAGCCCUUCAAAUCAUUAAAAUGGGCGGCGCAGGGUUGGGGGAAACUGGUUACCUAGACAGCCUAUAGUCUCUUCUGAUAGUGAAUGUAGGAUGAUUUUGCUUUCUACUCCUAAUUCAAAUUUUUAUCUUGCAGGAACAGAAAUCAUGAAAGAUCUGUUUGUCCAGGCCAGUGUUUCACCAUAAGAGAUCACUUUAAAAUAAAUGAUGAAAUAAUUCUUUGCAAUUGCAAAUUUACCUUCCUUGCUUACCACAUUGUUAACUGUAGGAGCUGAUACCUGGUUCUUCCACUGUUAACUUGUACUCUGUGUUUGUUCUAGCAAUAAAUGCUCUUUAUGCUA